GACGAACGCUGGCGGCGUGCCUAAUACAUGCAAGUUGAGCGCUGAAGGUUGGUACUUGUACCAACUGGAUGAGCAGCGAACGGGUGAGUAACGCGUGGGGAAUCUGCCUUUGAGCGGGGGACAACAUUUGGAAACGAAUGCUAAUACCGCAUAAAAACUUUAAACACAAGUUUUAAGUUUGAAAGAUGCAAUUGCAUCACUCAAAGAUGAUCCCGCGUUGUAUUAGCUAGUUGGUGAGGUAAAGGCUCACCAAGGCGAUGAUACAUAGCCGACCUGAGAGGGUGAUCGGCCACAAUGGGACUGGGAACCGGCCCAAACCCCUACGGGAGGCAGCAGUAGGGAAUCUUCGGCAAUGGACGAAAGUCUGACCGAGCAACGCCGCGUGAGUGAAGAAGGUUUUCGGAUCGUAAAACUCUGUUGGUAGAGAAGAACGUUGGUGAGAGUGGAAAGCUCAUCAAGUGACGGUAACUACCCAGAAAGGGACGGCUAACUACGUG
rnacentral:rRNA from 1 species